AACGAACGCUGGCGGCGUGCUUAACACAUGCAAGUCGAAUGCGAGGCGGGUUUUCGGACCGGUAGUAGCAUGGCAGACGGGUGAGGAACACGUAUCUGACCGGACGCUUGGUGGGGGAUAGUCCUGCGAAAGUGGGUUGAAUACCGCAUACGCUGUAUCGGGGAGCCGAUGCAGGAAAGUUGGCCUCUGCAAGCAAGCUGACGCUGAGUGACGGGGAUGCGGCCUAUUAGCUAGUUGGUGGGUAAGGCUUACCAAGGCGACGAUGGGUAGCUGGUCUGAGAGGAUGAUCAGCCCACACUGGGACUGCGACACGGCCCAGACUCCUACGGGAGGCAG
rnacentral:rRNA from 1 species